CUCAGGAUGAACGCUAGCUACAGGCUUAACACAUGCAAGUCGAGGGGCAUCAGGAAGAAAGCUUGCUUUCUUUGCUGGCGACCGGCGCACGGGUGAGUAACACGUAUCCAACCUGCCCUUUACUCGGGGAUAGCCUUUCGAAAGAAAGAUUAAUACCCGAUGGCAUAAUGAUUCCGCAUGGUUUCAUUAUUAAAGGAUUCCGGUAAAGGAUGGGGAUGCGUUCCAUUAGGUUGUUGGUGAGGUAACGGCUCACCAAGCCUUCGAUGGAUAGGGGUUCUGAGAGGAAGGUCCCCCACAUUGGAACUGAGACACGGUCCAAACUCCUACGGGAGGCAGCAGUGAGGAAUAUUGGUCAAUGGGCGCUAGCCUGAACCAGCCAAGUAGCGUGAAGGAUGAAGGCUCUAUGGGUCGUAAACUUCUUUUAUAUAAGAAUAAAGUGCAGUAUGUAUACUGUUUUGUAUGUAUUAUAUGAAUAAGGAUCGGCUAACUCCGUGCCAGCAGCCGCGGUAAUACGGAGGAUCCGAGCGUUAUCCGGAUUUAUUGGGUUUAAAGGGAGCGUAGGUGGACUGGUAAGUCAGUUGUGAAAGUUUGCGGCUCAACCGUAAAAUUGCAGUUGAUACUGUCAGUCUUGAGUACAGUAGAGGUGGGCGGAAUUCGUGGUGUAGCGGUGAAAUGCUUAGAUAUCACGAAGAACUCCGAUUGCGAAGGCAGCUCACUGGACUGCAACUGACACUGAUGCUCGAAAGUGUGGGUAUCAAACAGGAUUAGAUACCCUGGUAGUCCACACAGUAAACGAUGAAUACUCGCUGUUUGCGAUAUACAGUAAGCGGCCAAGCGAAAGCAUUAAGUAUUCCACCUGGGGAGUACGCCGGCAACGGUGAAACUCAAAGGAAUUGACGGGGGCCCGCACAAGCGGAGGAACAUGUGGUUUAAUUCGAUGAUACGCGAGGAACCUUACCCGGGCUUAAAUUGCAGUGGAAUGAUGUGGAAACAUGUCAGUGAGCAAUCACCGCUGUGAAGGUGCUGCAUGGUUGUCGUCAGCUCGUGCCGUGAGGUGUCGGCUUAAGUGCCAUAACGAGCGCAACCCUUAUCUUUAGUUACUAACAGGUUAUGCUGAGGACUCUAGAGAGACUGCCGUCGUAAGAUGUGAGGAAGGUGGGGAUGACGUCAAAUCAGCACGGCCCUUACGUCCGGGGCUACACACGUGUUACAAUGGGGGGUACAGAAGGCAGCUAGCGGGUGACCGUAUGCUAAUCCCAAAAGCCUCUCUCAGUUCGGAUCGAAGUCUGCAACCCGACUUCGUGAAGCUGGAUUCGCUAGUAAUCGCGCAUCAGCCACGGCGCGGUGAAUACGUUCCCGGGCCUUGUACACACCGCCCGUCAAGCCAUGGGAGCCGGGGGUACCUGAAGUACGUAACCGCAAGGAUCGUCCUAGGGUAAAACU
rnacentral:rRNA from 1 species